GGGGCUGUGGCUCAGUGGUAGAGCAUCUGCUUCACAUGCAGAAGGGCCCGGGGUUCAAUCCCCAGCAUCUCCA